rnacentral:rRNA from 1 species
UACGGGGGGGGCAAGCGUUGUUCGGAAUUACUGGGCGUAAAGGGCUCGUAGGUGGCCAACUAAGUCAGACGUGAAAUCCCUCGGCUUAACCGGGGAACUGCGUCUGAUACUGGAUGGCUUGAGUUUGGGAGAGGGAUGCGGAAUUCCAGGUGUAGCGGUGAAAUGCGUAGAUAUCUGGAGGAACACCGGUGGCGAAGGCGGCAUCCUGGACCGGCAUUGACGCUGAGGCGCGAAAGCUAGGGGAGCAAACGGG